CAAGUUGCUGUCUACAUCUCCAUUCUCCACCAAGAUCUUCGCCUCUCUCAUUUCCUCUUCAUCGCUAACCCUUAUUUCACAAUCAUACAGUUCUCAUUUCCUCUUCAUCUCUACCCCUUAUUCACCAUCAUACCUCUCUCAUUUCCUCUUCAUCUCUACCCCUUAUUUCAUCAUCAUACCUCUCUCAUUUCCUCUUCAUCUCUAACCCUUAUUUCACCAAUAAUACAGUUCUCAUUUCCUCUUCAUCUCUACCCUUAUUCACCAUCAUACCUCUCAUUUCCUCUUCAUCUCUACCCUUAUUCAUCAUCAUACCUCUCUCAUUUCCUCUUCAUCUCUACCCCUUAUUUCACCAUUCUCUCUCAUAUCCUCUUCAUCUCUAUCCCUUAUUUCACCAUUCUCUCUCAUUUCCUCUUCAUCUCUACCCCUUAUUUCACCAUCCUCUCUCAUUUCCUCUUCAUCUCUACCCCUUAUUUCACCAUCCUCUCUCAUUUCCUCUUCAUCUCUACCCCUUAUUUCAUCAUCCUCUCAUCUCUAUCCCUUAUUUCACCAUUCUCUCUCAUUUCCUCUUCAUCUUUACCCCUUAUUUCACCAUCCUCUCUCAUUUCCUCUUCAUCUCUACCCCUUAUUUCACCAUCCCCUCUCAUUUCCUCUUCAUCUCUACCCCUUAUUUCACCAUCCUCUCUCAUUUCCUCUUCAUCUUUACCCCUUAUUUCCCUCUCACUAUCAUACCUCCUCCCUUUCCGUUUCCAUCUCUACACCACUAUCUCCCAACUACCUUCUCAAUUCCAGCCGCUCUCUGCCCCUUUCCUUUCCUCUGUCCACUCUCUCUCCAACUCCUCCAACCAUCUCAACUCCAUUUUUCUCUUGCUCUCUCAUUCCCAAUCUACCUCUAUACCUACGUCACACUCUCUUUAGUCUGUGUUCUCAAUCAAUAACAACACCAUGGUCCAAAUCUAUAAAGUACUCCUUUGCUCCGCUCUGUUUUUUAGUGUUCUGCCAUCGCUGCCACAACACAACCAUGUUACACAAUGAGAUUAUCUAGCAGACAAUAGGAAAAGCACAUCAGUGCCCAGAUGACACUCCAUACAUUGCCUGUGUUCAUUUGUCUCAGCGGCAUCUACGUAGAUAUCAUGUCUUUCAGGGAUCACUCACCAACCCAUAGGGCGUAAUGGUCUGACUUAGGUAAAGUGUCAAGGCCAAUCAUUUUAAAUGGCAGGAGAUUUUUUUUAAACGCUAAAACAUGUUUGCUCAUAUUAAUAACCAUGGCUUUCUCUAAGGGUUCUAUUUUAACAAACCUAACGCAAUAAUAAAUCUAAGCGCUGGUGGUAACGCUAUACUGUAGGUUCGGGGUUGUCAUAACUAUUUUUGCUAUUUUCACAACCACAAUUAUGGGCGCAGUUGCUGGCGGUGGCGCAAAAGGAUUGGGUUUUGAUAAAUAAACAAGUUGUGGGUGUGUCAAGGCUUGGCUCCUCAUUAGCCAAUCAGAACAUGCCCCUGGCUAAGUAUGUGGUUAAUUCAAGUUGUCUAUUUAUGAUGGGAGGGCUGCCGUCUUAUCGGCUCUUAACUUGUUUGGGAUAGGGGGCAGCAUUUUCACUUUUGGAUGAAUAGCGUGUCCAGAGUGAACUGCCUCCUACUCAGUCGCAGAUGCUAAUAUAUGCAUAUUAUUAUUAGUAUUGGAUAGAAAACACUCUGAAGUUUCUACAACUGUUUGAAUGAUGUCUGUGAGUAUAACAGAACUAAUACGGCAGGCAAAAACCUGAGAGAAAAUCCAAACAGGAAGUGGAAAUCUGAGGUUUGUAGUUUUUGAACUCACCCCUAUCGAAUACACAGUGGGAUAUGGGUUAUUUUGCACUUCCUACGGCUUCCACUAGAUGUCAACCGUGUUUAGAACGUUGUUUCAGGCUGCUCAUGUGAAGGGGGGCCGGAUGGGAGCUGUUUGACUAAGGGGUCUGCCUACAGCCUCGUUCUCAGUCACGCGCUUUCACUUGAGAAGUAGCUCUCGUUCCAUUGCUUUUCUACAGACAAUAGAAUUCUCCGGUUGGAACAUUAUUGAACUUUUAUGAUAAAAACAUCCUAAAGAUGGAUUCUAUACUUAGUUUGACAAGUUUCUUCGACCUGUAAUAUAACUUUUUGAACAUUUCGUCCGAAUGGACCAGAUCACACUUUUGGAUUUGUUUACCAAACGCCCUAACAAAAGAAGCUAUUGGACAUAAAUGUACAUAAAUUAUGGACAUUAUCAAACAAAUCAAGCAUUUAUUGUGGAACUGCGAUUCCUGGGAGUGCAUUCUGAUGAAGAUCAUCAAAGAUCAUCAAAGGAAUAUUUAUAAUGCUAUUUAUGAAUAAUGUUGACUACCCAACAUGGCGGAUAUUUCUCUGGCUGGUUUGAGCUCUGAGCGCCGUUCUCAGAUUAUGCUUUUUCCAUAAAGUUUUUUUGAAAUCUGACACAGCGGUUGCAUCAAGGAGAAGUUUAUCUAAAGUUCCAUGUAUAGUAGUUGUAUUAUCAACAUUUAUUAUGAGUAUUUCUGUGAAUUCAUGUAGCUCUCUGCAAUAUCACUGCAUGUUUUGGAACUACUGAACGUAACACGCCAAUGUAAAAUAAGAUUUUUGGAUAUAAAUAUGAACUUUACCGAACAAAACAUACAUGUAUUGUGUAACAUGAAGUCCUAUGAUUGUCAUCUGAUGAAGAUCAUCAAAGG
ensembl:lncRNA